rnacentral:rRNA from 1 species
CUAGAAUAAAAGUAGUUAAGUUCUUCAUAACUCAAAGAUUUUGGCGGCUAAUUAUAUUUUAGAGGAACCUGUGAUUUAAUUGAUAAACCACGAUAAUUUAAACCUUUAUUCUUGUUUGUAUACCUCUAUAUUUAUGAAUGUUUUAUAAGAAUAAUUUUCUUUUAGUUAGAACUUAAAUUUUAGGUCAAGGUGCAGUUUUAUGAAGGUAAUUAUGGGUUAUAUAAAUUAUAAAUUAAUAUUAAAAAUUUUUAAAUUUGUAUUUAGAAUUUAAUAGUAAAUUAAAUAAAUUUAUUUAAUUGAAUUUUU